rnacentral:ncRNA from 1 species
GCCCGAAGUCGUUACCUUAACCGCAAGGAGGGGGAUGCCGAAGGCAGGGCUAGUGACUGGAGUGAAGUCGUAACCAGGUAGCCGUACUGGAAGGUGCGGCUGGAUCACCUCCUUU